rnacentral:rRNA from 1 species
ACCGAGUUUACAACUCCCAAACCCCUGUGAACAUACCAAUUGUUGCCUCGGCGGAUCAGCCCGCUCCCGGUAAAACGGGACGGCCCGCCAGAGGACCCCUAAACUCUGUUUCUAUAUGUAACUUCUGAGUAAAACCAUAAAUAAAUCAAAACUUUCAACAACGGAUCUCUUGGUUCUGGCAUCGAUGAAGAACGCAGCAAAAUGCGAUAAGUAAUGUGAAUUGCAGAAUUCAGUGAAUCAUCGAAUCUUUGAACGCACAUUGCGCCCGCCAGUAUUCUGGCGGGCAUGCCUGUUCGAGCGUCAUUUCAACCCUCAAGCCCAGCUUGGUGUUGGGACUCGCGAGUCAAAUCGCGUUCCCCAAAUUGAUUGGCGGUCACGUCGAGCUUCCAUAGCGUAGUAGUAAAACCCUCGUUACUGGUAAUCGUCGCGGCCACGCCGUUAAACCCCAACUUCUGAAUGUUGACCUCGGAUCAGGUAGGAAUACCC